GAUGAAGAACGUAGCGAAAUGCGAUAAGUAAUGUGAUUUGCAGAAUUCAGUGAAUCAUCGAAUCUUUGAACGCACAUUGCGCCCCUUGGUAUUCCGAGGGGCAUGCCUGUUCGAGCGUCAUUAUAACCCCUCAAGCUCAGCUUGGUGUUGGGGCCUGCUGCACUGGCAGCCCUUAAAAUCAGUGGCGGCGCCAUCUGGCUCUAAGCGUAGUAAUUCUUCUCGCUAUGGAGUCCUGGUGGAUGCUUGCCAUCAACCCCCAAUUUUUCUAUGGUUGACCUCGGAUCAGGUAGGGAUACCCGCUGAACUUAAGCAUAUCAAUAAGCGGAGGA
rnacentral:misc_RNA from 1 species